GUUCUUAUAGUUGAAUUACAACAAUGGUUUUUCAUAUCGUUAGUCAUGGUUAAAUUCCAUGUGAGAAUU
rnacentral:tRNA from 1 species